ACGAUGGGUAGGGGUCCUGAGAGGGAGAUCCCCCACACUGGUACUGAGACACGGACCAGACUCCUACGGGAGGCAGCAGUGAGGAAUAUUGGUCAAUGGGCGCAAGCCUGAACCAGCCAUGCCGCGUGCAGGAUGACGGUCCUAUGGAUUGUAAACUGCUUUUGUACGAGAAGAAACAACAUUACGUGUAAUGUCUUGACGGUAUCGUAAGAAUAAGGAUCGGCUAACUCCGUGCCAGCAGCCGCGGUAAUACGGAGGAUCCAAGCGUUAUCCGGAAUCAUUGGGUUUAAAGGGUCCGUAGGCGGUUUAGUAAGUCAGUGGUGAAAGCCCAUCGCUCAACGGUGGAACGGCCAUUGAUACUGCUAGACUUGAAUUAUUAGGAAGUAACUAGAAUAUGUAGUGUAGCGGUGAAAUGCUUAGAGAUUACAUGGAAUACCAAUUGCGAAGGCAGGUUACUACUAAUGGAUUGACGGUGAUGGACGAAAGCGUGGGUAGCGAACAGGAUUAGAUACCCUGGUAGUCCACGCCGUAAACGAUGGAUACUAGCUGUUGGGAGCAAUUUCAGUGGCUAAGCGAAAGUGAUAAGUAUCCCACCUGGGGA
rnacentral:rRNA from 1 species